ensembl:lncRNA
CCGUGCCCCGAUGACCCUAUGAUGACCCCAUAUCCGUGCCCUGAUGACCCUACAAUGACCCCAUACCCGUGCCCCGAUGACCCUACAGUGACCCCAUAGCCGUGCCAUGAUGACCCUACAAUGACCCCAUAUCCGUGUCCCGAUGACCCUACAGUGACCCCAUAUCCGUGCCCCGAUGACCCUACAAUGACCCCAUAUCCGUGCCCUGAUGACCCUACAGUGACCCCAUACCCAUGCCCCGAUGACCCUACAAUGACCCCAUACCCAUGCCUCGAUGACCCUACAGUGACCCCAUAGCCGUGCCCUGAUGACCCUAUGAUGACCCCAUACCCGUGCCAUGAUGACCCUACGAUGACCCCAUACCCGUGCCCCGAUGACCCUACAAUGACCCCAUAUCCGUGCCCCGAUGACCCUAUGAUGACCCCAUAGCCAUGCCAUGAUGACCCUACAAUGACCCCAUACCCAUGCCCCGAUGACCCUACAAUGACCCCAUACCCAUGCCUCGAUGACCCUACAGUGCCCCCAUAGCCGUGCCAUGAUGACCCUACAGUGACCCCAUACCCGUGCCCCGAUGACCCUAUGAUGACCCCAUAGCCGUGUCAUGAUGACCCUACAAUGACCCUAUGGCUGUGCCCCGAUGACCCUACAGUGACCCCAUACCCGUGCCAUGAUGACCCUACAGUGACCCCAUACCCGUGCCCCGAUGACCCUAUGAUGACCCCAUAGCCGUGCCAUGAUGACCCCACAAUGACCCUAUAGCCAUGCUAUGAUGACCCUACAAUGACCCCAUACC